GAUGAAGAACGUAGCGAAAUGCGAUAAGUAAUGUGAAUUGCAGAAUUCAGUGAACCAUCGAAUCUUUGAACGCACAUUGCGCCCGGCAGUAAUCUGCCGGGCAUGCCUGUCCGAGCGUCAUUUCUGCCCUCGAGCGAGUCCAGCAUCUAGGUGCUGGGCCCGCCCGGCGUUGGGGCACUACGGGAAGCCCUGUGCUGUCCCCCGUAGGCCCCGAAAUGAAGUGGCGGUCCUGCCGCGGCGCCCCCUGCGUAGUAUAACAGCUCGCUUCGGGACCCGGUGGAGGCCUGCCGUCAAACCUUACUCUCUAAGUUUGACCUCGGAUCAGGUAGGGUUACCCGCUGAACUUAAGCAUAUCAAUAAGCGUAGGA
rnacentral:misc_RNA from 1 species